rnacentral:tRNA from 1 species
GGGGAUUUAGCUCAGUGGUAGAGCGCUUGCCUAGCAAGCGCAAUGCCCUGGGUUCAGUCCUCA